rnacentral:rRNA from 1 species
UACGUAGGGGGGCGAGCGUUGUCCGGAUUUACUGGGCGUAAAACGCUUGUAGGCGGCCACGCCAAGUCGGAUGUGAAAUCUCCCGGCUUAACUGGGAGGGGUCAUGCAUACUGGCGGGCUCGAGGCAGGUAGGGGGAAGCGGAAUUCCCGGUGUAGGUGGUGGAAUGCGUAGAUAUCGGGAGGAACACCAGUGGCGAAGGCGGCUUCCUGGACCUGUUCUGACGCUGAGGAGCGAAAGCGUGGG